rnacentral:rRNA from 1 species
UUUGACAUGCAAGUGGUAGGAAUCCGAAACGGUGACCGACCUUCGGGGAGCUUGCACAGGUGCUGCAUGGCUGUCGUCAGCUCGUGUCGUGAGAUGUUCGGUUAAGUCCGCUAACGAGCGCAACCCUCGUCGUGUGUUAUACGUGUCACACGAUACUGCCGGUAUCAAGCCGGAGGAAGGUGGGAUGAUGUCAAGUCAGCAUGGCCUUUAUAUCCUGGGCUACACACACGCUACAAUGGCAGAUACAAUAGGUUGCGAAACCGCGAGGUGGAGCCAAUCCUCAAAGUCUGUCUCAGUUCAGAUUGUAGGCUGCAACUCGCCUGCAUGAAGUUGGAGUUGCUAGUAAACGCAGGUCAGCUAUACUGCGUUGAAUACGUUCCCGGGGUUU